rnacentral:rRNA from 1 species
UCUGUUUGACUAUAAAAGAGUCUGACCUGCCCACUGAUUAAGAGAUUUAAGGGCCGCAGUAUUAUGACUGUGCAAAGGUAGCAUAAUCAUUAGGUUUUUAAAUGAGAUCUUGUAUGAAUGGUCGAACAAAGGAAAAGCUAUUUUAGUGUUAUAAUUUGAAUUUUACUUUUAAGUGAGAAGGCUUAAAUAUUUUAAAGGGACGAUAAGACCCUAUAAAGCUUUACAUAAGGUUAUAUUUAACUGAAUUUAUAUUUAUUUUAAAGGUUUAAUAUAAAUUUUGUUUUGUUGGGGAGACAGGGGCAAAAAGUAUUGUAGCUGCUCAAAAGGUAGUCAUUUAUUUAUGGGUUAAUAAAAGAUCCUUAUUAAAGAUUAGAAGUUUAAGUUACUUUAGGGAUAACAGUAUAAUUUUUUUAAAGAGUUCAUAUCGAAAAAAGAGUUUGUAACCUCGAUGUUGAAUUAAAAUAUCUAUAUAAUGUAGCUGUUAUAUAAGAAGGUCUGUUCGACCUUUAAUUU